GACGAACGCUGGCGGCGUGCUUAACACAUGCAAGUCGAACGGGCCUGUCUUCUUUUUUGGGGGUGGGUUGAGUGGCGAACGGGGGAGUAUCACGUGAGUAACCUGCCCUUCGGUCCUGGAUAACCGCUUGAAAGGGCGGCUAAUACGGGGUGGUCCGGUUGGUCCGCAUGGGCUGGUCGGGAUAGAUUCACUGUUUUUGGUGUUUCGGCGGGGGAUGGGCUCGCGGCCUAUCAGCUUGGUGGUGGGGUGAUGGCCUACCAAGGCGGUGACGGGUCGCCGGCCUGAGAGGGUGGGCGGCCACACUGGGACUGGGAUACGGCCCAGACUCCUGCGGGAGGCAGCAGUGGGGGUAUUGCACAAUGGGCGGAAGCCUGAUGCAGCGACGUCGCGUGAGGGAUGGAGGCCUUCGGGGUGUGAACCGCUGUUUCCGGUGGUGAAGGCCCUGUCCGUGUGGUGGGGUUGACGGUAGCCGGGGAUGAAGCGCCGGCUAACUACGUG
rnacentral:rRNA from 1 species